GCCGAAAUAGCUCAGUUGGGAGAGCGCUGGAUUGAAGAUCUAAAGGUCCCUGGUUCGAUCCCGAGUUUCGGCA
rnacentral:tRNA from 1 species